rnacentral:rRNA from 1 species
UACGUAGGGGGCGAGCGUUGUCCGGAUUUAUUGGGCGUAAAGAGCACGCAGGCGGUUUGGCAAGUCGGAUGUGAAAACCCGAAGCUCAACUUCGGGCCUGCAUCCGAAACUGCCCGACUAGAGGUAGGUAGGGGAGAUCGGAAUUCCUGGUGUAGCGGUGAAAUGCGCAGAAUAUCAGGAGGAACACCGGUGGCGAAGGCGGGU